rnacentral:rRNA from 1 species
CACGUAGGGUGCGAGCGUUGUCCGGAAUUAUUGGGCGUAAAGAGCUCGUAGGCGGUGUGUCGCGUCGGCCGUGAAAACCUGCAGCUUAACUGUGGGCGUGCGGUCGAUACGGGCAUCACUGGAGUUCGGCAAGGGAGACUGGAAUUCCUGGUGUAGCGGUGAAAUGCGCAGAUAUCUGGAGGAACACCGGUGGCGAAGGCGGCAUCCUGGACCGACACUGACGCUGAGGAGCGAAAGCCAGGGGAGCAAACGGG